CACACAGAGCGAGAGAGAGACUUACUUCCAGUUCUACCAUAAUUCAUCUAAAGCAGGUGCAGCGCCUUUUCCAGAGAGAGCGCUUCGGCCAGGGAAGGAAAGGGAAGGGAUUUUGGGCGGAGUAAGGGCAUCAAAGAGGGGCGAAAAGAAGAAGCCGCGGGGGUUGAAAAGGUGCCCGCCCUGAAACCACUCUCUUCGCAGACAAGACCUCACUUUGCAUGCUGGAAGGAGGGGAGGAAGCCAGGUUUCUGAGAGGGGAUGUCCCUUCUCUGAAACUAUUGUUGUGGUUGGGGUUGUGGUGACUUUUCCGGGCUGUCUGGCCAUGUUCCAGAAGCAUUCUCUCCUGACGUUUCACCCACCUCUAUGGCAGGCGUCCUCAGAGGUGGGGAGGCAUAUUGGAAAACUAAGCAAGGAAGUCGAAGGCUUUCAUGGCCGGAAUCACAGGGUUGCUGUGUUUUCCGGGCAGUAUGGCCAUGUUCCAGAAGCAUUCUCUCCUGACGUUUCACCCACCUCUAUGGCAGGCGUCCUCAGAGGUGGUGAGGCAUAUUGGAAAACUAAGCAAGGAAGAACAAGGCUUUCAUGGCCGGAAUCACAGGGUUGUUGUGUUUACCGGGCAGUGUGGCCCGGUGGCGAAGUGUGUUAAAGCACUGAGCUGCUGAACUUGCAGACCGAAAGGUCCCAGGUUCAAACCCGGGGAGCGGAGUGAGCGCCCGCUGUUAGCUCCAGCUUCUGCCAACCUAGCAGUUCGAAAACAUGUCAAUGUGAGUACCGCUCCGGCGGGAAGGUAACGGCACUCCAUGCAGUCAUGCCGGCCACAUGACCUUGUAGGUGUCUACGGACAACGCCGGCUCUUCGGCUUAGAAAAUGGAGAUGAGCACCAACCCCCAGAGUCAGACGUGACUGGGCUUAACGUUAGGGGAAAACCUUUACCUUUACCUUUUAUGGCCAUGUUCCAGCAGCAUUCUCUCCUGAAGUUUCGUCCACAUCCUCUGAGGCAUCCUCAGAGGUUGUGAGGGCAUACAGCCCGGAAAACACACAACAACCCUAAGCAAGGAAGAUUUAUAUGUCUGUGGAAGGUCCAGGGUGGGAGAAAGAACUCUUGUCUGUUGGAGGCUGGUGUGAAUUUUGUAACUAAUCACUAGCUGUUCUUGUUUUCACUGUUUGGGUCUCUUUCUAGAGCAGGCCUGGGCAAACUUCGUCCCUCCAGGUGUUUUGGACUUCAGCUCCCACCAUUCCUAAAACGAUAGACUGGGUUACUGUGAGUUUUCUGGGCUGUAUGGCCAUGUUCCAGAAGCAUUCUCUCCUGACCUUUCGCCCACAUCUAUGGAAGGCAUCCUCAGAGGUUGAGGUUUGUUGGAAACUAAGCAAGUGGGGUUUAUGUAUCUGUGGAAGGUCCAGGGUGGGAGAAAGAACUCUUGCCUGUUUGAGGCAGGUGUCAAUGUUGCGAUUAAUCACCUUGAUUAUAAUUGAAUAGCCUUACAAUUUCAAAGCCUGGCUGCGUCCUACCUGGGGAAUCCUUUGUUGGGAGGUGUUAGCUGGCCCCAGGACCAUAGCCAGAAAAAAAAUAGGGGUGGGUGAAAUUUUUUUUAGCAAAUCAUGAAGAGUAGUUCCAUAAAGCAAAAUAAUAUAGAAAUCAGGCUCCAUCGAUAAACUUCAGUGGACACUCAUUGGAAUUUGGUUAACUAGUUAAAAUUCAUACGUAAACCAGGUUUUUUUAAAACCUGAAAAUUUUCGGGGGGGGGGGGGUUAACCCCUAACCUCCCUCCCCCCUUGGCUACAGCCAUGGCUGGCCCUGAUGGAUUCAUGUCUGGAAUUCUUCUGUUUUCUGAGUGUUGUUUUUUUAUUUACUGUCCUGAUUUUAGAGGUUUUUUAAAAAUACUGGUAGCCAGAUUUUGUUCAUUUUCAUGGUUUCUUCCUUUCUGUUGAAAUUGUCCACAUGCUUGAAAGCCAUUGAAAUCCACAAGCAUGUGGUGAAUUUCAACAGAAAGGAGGAAACCAUGAAAAUGAACAAAAUCUGGCUAGCAAUAUUAAAAACUGCCGAGGCUGCGAGUUUGAGCAACGAAGUGACCCAUCAACAUUCUCAGAGCAGAGCGCAUUUGGGAGGAGUAAAAUAACAUUUUAGGGUAGACUAUGGGCAGGAUGGGCUGCAAAAUAUUAGAUAUGGGAGUUGUACUGUAUUGAGCCCCCAGUGGCGCAGUGGGUUAAACCGCUGAGCGGCUGAACCUGCUGAUUGGGGAGCAGAGUGAACUCCCACUGUUAGCCCCAGCUUCUGCCAACCUAGCUGUUUGAAAACAUGCAAAUAUGAGUAGAUCAAUAGGUACUGCUCUGGCGGGACGAUAACAGUACUCCAUGCAGUCAUGCUGGUCACAUGAUCUUGGAGGUGUCUAUGGACAACACUGGCUCUUUGGCUUAGAAAUGGAGAUGAGCACCACCCCCCAGAGUCGGACACAACUAGACUUAAUGUCAACUUUACCCUUACUGUUUGGGUCUCUUUCUUGAACAGGCACAGCCAAAUUUCGGCCCUCCAGGUGUUUUGGACUACAACUCCCACGAUUCCUGACAGCUGGUGAGCAUUAUAUCACUGGAUAGAAAGUCGAAUAAAGGGAUAUAUAAGGUGAAGUUUAUGUUCUGGUUAAUAUUGAUAUUGCAUGGCAUUCUUAUAGCUGUGACAGACAUAACCAGCAGGUUAAACCUUGUAUGUGUAAACAGUCUCAUUCAGAACAACUUUGUAGAGAUCCCGCAACACCGCACAAUCUAGUGUCAGACUCAUGCCUAAUAUUGCCCGUGCACAAGCAGUACUUGUGUGAGACACAGGAUGAAAAAUGUGAGAGUUCGCAGCACAUAGACACCAUAUAUUUAGUCAUAUCUCAUUAAAUAAUUUCAUGAAAUGCUGUAUAACCUUUGAUAUGCAAGUGAUGUGGGUCUUUCACUGGGUUCUUUCAUAUUAGUCAUCCUCUAAAGGUAUGAACACUACAACUAUUCCUAACCACAACUGCAAGAUAGAGAUGGAGCACAUCUUUGGGUCUCACCUCCAGGAUAGCUCAUUCUGUAAUCCAAACACCUCAGGAUCCCAUGCGUGAUUUUACUGUCCUUUAAUACCAGUGUAUGAAUUUUAGUAUUACGUUUAAAUAUUAGUUUAACUGUGUUGUACCCCUACAGCAGACAUGUGCAAACUUCAGCCCUUCGGGUGUUUUGUUUUUUUUUUUUAGAUAUCUGUGAACAUUCCUUAAUUUUAACCUAACAGAAAUUAAAUUUCCAAGCAGGUAAAUAUGUUUAAGAUCAGCCUGUUGAACUACAGAAUUUAUUCAAAAAUUCAUGUUAAGAAAACCCAAUAAUAGGUUCACCCUAGGGUCGCCAUAAGUCAAAAAUGACAGAUAUGUUUUUAUUUUUAAAAACAAAAUAUUAAUUUUCUAAAAGAACAACAUGAUUAACGUGAAUAUGUGCAUGUUGAUGCUAGUACCGAUCAAUGUCUUUUACUAAGUACAUUGUUAACAAUGUUUUUGUGAAUGAAAAACCAAUCUGAUUAUUUGUAAAAUCUGAACAUUUACAUAUUACGCAUGUAAAAAUCAUGUAUUUAAUUUUCACCUAACUAAAACUAACUACAUUAGACAAAGGAAAUAACAAAUUCUGUUCUCCGAGUAUGGAAUUCAGCCAAAGCAGUGCAGCAGAAAAGAACAAGAGGGGAAAGAAGACAACAAAACCCAAUGCACAAGUUUUGUUUUUGUUUUUUGUUUUUUAAAUUAAAGCUUGUUUUUCUCUCAUUGUAGAACCUGAGGCAUCUUAAGGCAUGAAAUAAAGCACACUCACUUAUAACACUGAAGAGCAAUUAAAAAUAAAAAGUAAAUAAGUUAAACUAAAACCAGAGACCAAAAUUAUAUAAUAAACGUCGUCAAAACACAAACACUUUUAUUUUUAAAAGUGGAGGCUUUAAAACAGAGGGCGCCUGCUUCUUCAAGACCCUUGGAAGCCAUACUGUGCUGCCGAGGCUGCCAGUUUCAGCAACAGAAGUGACCCAUCAACACUCUCAGAGAGAGAGCAUUUGGGAAGAGUAAAAUAGCAUUUUGGGGUGGAACAUGGCUUCAGAGACUUUGGGCGGGAUUGGCUGCAAAAUAUUACUUUGAGAAAACUAGUGGGCCUUAAAGGAAGAACAUACUUCAUAGAGAUGUGCAUGUGGUCACCCAUUUCACAUUUUGACUCCCAUAUCUGCAGGGAAUAUGUCCACAGACUUUGCGUGGAUAUGUGAAACUGGAGGUCACAGUGAUUCCUUUUGAAAUGGACUUCUAGUCCAAGAACACCAUAAAAUCAUGCUGGACGGCCUAGAAAAUGCCUAAAGAUUACCUGUUUUGUCAGACGUGGAUAAAUGAAACCAUGGGUACCAGUCCCAUAGAUAUGAGAAGUUGUGGAGGGGAUGCACAAAUUGAACUUUUCUCAAGAUAGAUUUUCUUCGUCUAAGUGCAGCCACCAAGAAGGACUUGGUGCCAAGACCUAGGCAGUCUCAUAUGGGGAUGUAAGGACUUUCAGAUAGUCUGGAACUAAGUUGUACAAGCCUCUAUAAACCAGACUCAGCACUUCCUAAUUCCCUGGCAUGGUUUAAAACAUAACAAAAAUGAGAAGAUCAGCACCUACCAUUGAAAGAUCCUUCUGGCCAAGGUUUUCUCCUGACAUUAAGUUGUGUCCGACUCUGGGGGUUGGUGCUCAUCUCCAGUUCUAAGCCAAAGAGCUGGCAUUGUCUGUAUAUGUCUCCAAGGUAAUAUGGCCGGCAUGACUGCAUGGAGCAUUGUUACCUUCCUGCCGGAGUGGUACCUAUUGAUCUACUCACAUUCGCAUGUUUGCAAACUGCUAGGUUGGCAGAAGCUGGGGCGAACAGUAGGAGCUCACCUCACUCCCCAGAUUCAAACCGCCCUUCUUUUGGUCAGCAAAUUCAGCAACUCAGCAGUUUAAUCCUGCACCAUCAGGGGCUAUUUAAAUAAAAAAAGUAUUGCUUGCCAGUAGAAGGCAAAUAAAGAGGGAGCCCUCCCAUGAAUUUCCAUUGCUUCCCAUGGGAAUCCAAUAAUUUAGGAGCAGCCAUCAAGAAGAAUUCCUCAAGUCUGCUCUAAAGGUGCUGGUGAAAGUGAUAGCACUGAAGGAAGAAGCUUCUUGGAGAAGGGAAGACUGAGAGGUGACAUGAUAGCCAUAUUAAAAUAUCUGAAGGGAUGUCUUGUAGAAGAUGGGGCAAGCUUAUUUUCUGUUGUUCCAGAACCUAGAACACAAACCAAUGGGUCCAAAUUAGAAGAAAAGAGUUUCCACCUAAACAUUCAGAAAAAAACUUGCAUUGUAAGAACUACUCAACAGUGGAAUAGACUGCCUUGGAAAAUGGUGGAUUCCUCUUUGGAUAUCUUUAAAUAUAGGCUGGAUGUGCAUCUUUCAGAAGUAUCUUCCUACAUGCCAGGAAGUUAGACUAAAUUCAGGUGAUAUUCCUAAAUAUCGUAGACACAUUAAACCAGUUGCUGAAUUAUGUAAGUACUUACGUAAUUACAAGUGCUUUAGAAGACCUACUUUCCAGCGAAUGAAUUCAGGCCUUGCAAAUUGGUAACAUAUCGUACUUCUUCAAUUGUAAGAUGCACCUUAAUUUCAGUACCAACAACAACAAAAAUACAUAAGAUACAGAUGCGAUUCUAAGAUGCAGCCCAUUUUAGGGAUUUUAUCUAGGGAAAAAGUGAGUCUUAACAUUGGAAGAAAUAUAGUAGUUACUAGUUACUUUUUUGUUUAAGUGUAAUGAAUAACAUUUAUGCAUUGCUUCUGGAAAGCUGCUCUGGGGAGUUUAUUUGGGGAGUAUUUUUAUCCUCUUUGUAAGUUUAAAAGCAACUUAAAAGUAAUACAAUGAGCAACAUUAAUUAGGCUUUUUUGUUAAAUCACUGUGGAAUAGUAGCAAGUUUUAAAAAGAAUGUUCCAAACUCUGGCAAAAUGAAUGUGUGCAUAAUAUGUGUAAGACAAAAAAAUUGGUGCAAGGCCUUAUUGCAAGAAUGAAACUCCAGCAUACGUAAUAAUCCAAUUAAGUUAUGAAUUAGUGCAGUUUAGUGGUCAAAUUUGCAUUGUUCAGGAAAUAUUUAAUGUAGUCUUUGUGGGAUUUCAGUGAGUCAUUUAGUCACCCUUUUUCUUUCUGACUAAACCAUUAUUUACGUCAUUAAUUUUAAUAAAUCCAUCCUGAUCCUAACCAUGUUUACUUAGAAUUAAGUUCUUUUCAGUUCAGUUUUGCUUACUAUCUUAUGGCUUCAAUCCUAUCUUUCUUUACCUGGAAGUCGGUAGACACAUACUUUAUUGGAGGCUCAGUACUGCACAAUGCUUUUCUAACAUAAUUCUUUAAAAACCAUGAUCCAAGUUGAUUUAGAGCACAUAUAGGCUAAGUCCAAUUACUAGUCCCAACUAGAGCAAAUACUUUGAAACAAUGAGGUUUACCCAAGUCUUGUCUUACCAUUUAGAAACUGAUUUAAUGGAUUUACAUGUAUUGGAAUUUGAGGUUUCAUUUAGAUCUUUACAUUUUAUAUAUGCAUUAUUUUUAAAAAAUCAUGUUCUUGCUCUCUUUUAAAUAGAAAGGAUUCAAUAUUGUUCAGGCCCUUUUUUAAAACUUCCAAGGAAAAAGACCCCACUACCUCUCUAGGCAAUUGGUUUCAUUGCUAAAAUGCACUUAUUGUCAAGAGGCUCCUACCAAUGUUCAAUCAAUAUCCACUCUCCUAUAAACAGACUUGCCCCUUUCCUCUUUGUGACAUGUCCAACAUCUUCUGACUUGUCUCGUAUAUUUUGUUCUCCAUACCUUUAUCAUCCUUAUUGCCUUUCUCUGAACCUGCUCCAACUAGUGUAUAGUCUUCCUAAAAUGAAGCACCCAGAACUGAAUGCAGGACUCCAGGGAGACCAGAGCAUCACAGAAUAUAGUGAGACUAUUACUUCAAUUGACUGGCUUCUAUUAAUGUAGGCUAAAACACCAUUCACUUUCUUUCCUGCAGCAUCACACUACUGAGUCAUGUUCAGUUUAUGAUCAAUAAUAAUUCUAAAGUCCUUUUCACAAAUAGUACUGCGGAGACAGGUAUGCCCAUCCUAUAUCUGAGCAUUUGGUUUUCUGGUCUAAAUGUAGAAGUUUGCAUUUAUCUCUGUUGAAUUCCAUUUUAUUGAUUUCUGCUCAAUUUUCUAAUUUAACCAUGUCCUUUUGAAUUCUGUUCCUGUCUUCAAAUGUGUUAGCCAUCCCUCCCAAUUUUAGAUAAUCUGAAAAUUUGAUAAGGAUUCCUGCAGCACUCCACUCAAAACCACCUGAUGACUCUUUGAACAUGUUUUCUAAUCAAUUAUGGAUAGAAUCUGACAGGGUUUCUUUUUAUUCCAUGAUUAAUCAGUUUGUUGAAAAUAGUAUUAUGGGGAACUUUAUCAAACGCUUUGCAGACAAGCAGAUAAAAAUAUUCAUAGCAUUCCCACCAUCUACUAAACCAGAGGUGAAAAAAGAUAUAAGUUUAAUUUGGCAGGAUUUGUUUUUGACAAACCCAUGCAAGCUCCUAUUGAUCACUGCAUUGACACCAAGAUACUUGCAGACAGAUUCAUGUGUAAUAAAUUCUGAGCCCCUCACCAUGUAUUGUGGUCAUGUUGAGUUGCCUUUAGUUUCCUAGCUCUUUUUUUUUUUGCUUUUUUAAAAGGAGGAACAGUUUGUGCCCUUCUCCAGUCCUCUAGCACCACACUUGUCAUUGCCUUCUUCAAUUUGCAUUUUUUUCAGCUAUUUCCCAUUUUCUUUCUCCAUCUCAUGACCACUUUCCCCUAAAAGUACUGAUUACCCUUAUUCAGUGACCAGCUUCUCCUUAUUGGUUAGGAUCAAGUCCAGGAUUGUUGAUUGCUAUCUUUAAAACUCUCUUGUUCAGACUUGCCAUGCCACUACCAAAUAUAUUUUCCCCAUCAUUGUGAGGUGCAGCCUAUCUAUAGCCAGUAGCAAAUACCAGAGAAAAUUGAAAUUCAAUUAUUUUUCCUUGCACAUAACAACAACAAUAACCUUUGUUUAUAUCCUUCCCCAUCUCCCCAUGAUAUUGAAAUCAGCUCCAGAGGUUCAGGUUUAGUUGAUGCUGGUAUUUUGCAGCCAAGGUGAAGCAGUAGAAAAGGCCCAAUUCCUAAUAGUGUGCCAUCUGAAAUCCAAGAACAGACGGCAGAACAUCAAGGGGGGGGGGGGGGGAGAGAGAGAAUUAUGUAUAACGGAAUAUUUCAGCAUUCUUACUUAUCAUGUAAACCACUCCUGUUGAAAACUAUUAAAAGAGUAAGACCCCAAUUUUUUUAACAUGAUCAUUUUACAGGGGACAUUACAACAGGGCCUCCACUGAAGAUUUAAGCAAAAUAACAUGCUUACUAGGAUGAAGUACAAUGCUAGGCAUGCCCACUCAGGAGUACGUUUCACUGAUUUCAAUACAGAAGAGAUGAGAAUCAAGAGGGUGACCAGGUGUUGGAUUACAGGUCCUAGCAGCCUAACCUGCAUGGGCAAUGAUGAUGAAUUCUGGGAACUGAAGUCUAACAACAUAUGCAGGGUCUAUGUGAGUCCCAUCCCUGCAGUAGAAUAUGUAUGUGGCUUCAACCUCAGAUUACCCAGGUUUGGGAUUGUGUUGCACAGAUGUGUUUAGAGAGCACAUGUGCUUCUAUCACAUUUUAAGCCUUUUCUCUGCUACUUAUCAGGACUCAAAACAAUUUUAAAUUACUUUGUGUGAAAGAAACACAUGGAUGUUGUAGUUGUUAUUAAAUAAAGUCCUUGUUCCACUAUGUCUUUAAUCUUAAGUAUUUUUAAUGAAGGGGUAAGGUCAGCUACAAUUAACUGAGGUUAUGUUAGAACAGGAUUGGGCUUUAGAAGAAAUUCCCACUAAUCUCUAAAACAUAUUUCCAGGUAAGCAUGCUUAGCUUUGCAAUCUGAAAUUACCGAAGCUACAUGCUUACUAUGGAAGCAGCAUACUAUGUGAAAAUGAAGUCAGAACAGACAGCUGUAUGAUUGGUCAGAAUGCAUAUUAUACUGGAAUUGUUGGCCACUGUUAAGAAUUUUUGACUUUUAUGCCUGCUAAGAAACUCCUAUGUUCUCAAAGCCUGCCAUUACUGGUUGCAAAGUCAAAAUUUCUGACGAUUUUAAUAAGCCUAGUCUGAAGUUUAUGAAUAUACAAUAAAAAAACUUCUGACAAGAAUUGCAUUAACUGCAGAGGAUUUCCAUUUGCACAAACAUUCAGAACUUGGAAAAGUUACAUUAUUCUAUAGUGCAUAUAAAAAUGGGGGUGAGCAAGGAGGUGUCACUGGUAUAGGGGAGCCAAGCAGAAGUGUUGGUUCCAAUACUUACAAUAAAAGUAUCUGAUACAUAAUACUCCUGAACCAGACAAUGUAGUCGCUAUGGCAUUGCCGCUUGAAAAACUAUAAGCAUACAGUAUAUCCAAGUUUCAGCCAUUUGCAUUGUAUAAUUUUUUUUGUUUUUGAAUUAUAAAACGGGCUAGGACAGAAACUGAUGGCAUUUUGUCACUGGGGUACCCAUACCACCCAACAUUUCAUGAAUGAAACCAGGACACAAGUGGUCAAACAACAUCACAAUGUGGUAAAGAUGAUAGAAGUUAUUAUUGAGGCUAGGAGUGGCUGCGGCAGUUUGCUUUUUCCUGAGUCUACAGAGAAGGGCAAGAUUCUGCCGUACCUCUCCUGCUAUUGAUCUAAUUGAAGGCAAAUUACCUUUUCACUUUGAACUCAGUUUGCAACAAUGGAAAUAAGCUGGAGACAAUGGAGCAAGGUGGGAGGAAGAGAGAAAAACUGGAACAUUAAAAAAAUGGGAUAGCACAGGACUAAACAGUACUGUCCCUGCCAAAUUGGCAUAGUUGGAGGAUUUGAGUAUAUUGAGGCAAAAUGCAAAAUGGCACAAUCAGAUUAUCACUAGGGAAGCCUCCUUUUAAGGAAGAGGCACUGGAAUUCUCAGUGAAUUCAAGAAAUACAUAAAGUAUGCAUUUAAACUCUACUUAUAAUCCUAACAUAAACCUUACUAGUAACCCUCAAUACAAUCGGAUUUUCAGUGAGUCCAUAACUAGCCCAUAGCUCGCUCCCUAUACCCAAGCUUAUUUUAUCUUUGUACAAGUUGUAUAUAUGCCAUUAUUCACUUCCCCUUGCAGCAAAGAAUAAAAUUGUUGGCUAUAACUGGCUAUAGUAACUGUUUAUUCAACACCUGUGCAACAACAUGCUGUACUGCACUUACAUCACAUGUCCCCCUGGCACAUAAUAUUUUCACAGGUACAAAAUUACUGUUAUUUGAGUGCCAUAUAUGCAAUAUAGCAACAAAAAAGUGAAGCCUCGAGAGAGGUAUGCAGGCUUGACGAUAUAAAUAAGGAACAAAUGCACAUUUACUGCAUAAAAGCAAUUGGAGCAGAAAGGACCUUAGACCCCAAUGCUGCAAAUAUUUGCACAUUGCUGGGCACAUCAAAGUAAAUGGUGCUAAACAUGCACUGCCAAAGUUCUCAAGUAUUCAAGAGGAAAGAGCAAGUGCCUUCUUUAAUAUAGCACACUUUCCCCAAAAGAUAAAAUCUGUUGUAUUGUAAAUGUUUUCCAUUAGAAAAAAAUUAAGACAAAUACAAAACAGGACCAUGUAAUUAUGAUCUUAGGUUUAACCCUCAUACCCAAUUGCCGUAAGGAAGCCCCUUUGAAACCUGAUGGGAUUUACUUUUGAGUGGACACAUACAGGAUUGCUCUAUCCCUUUUUAUACACAUAGCAAACCAACUUUUUAAAGGGGAACUACAAAUACAACUUUUAUGUUUGAAAAAUAUCCAUUUACCUUAGAAUUCAAGUUGAAGCAUCAACAUUUCCCACCAAUAUUUUAUGUUUGUAGUGACUCCUUGGAUUACAAGAGAAUAGCAAUAUGUUGCCCAGUACACCAGAAGUACAUUAACAGAGACCACACUUCAAAGUUGUUGGUGUUUUUUGUUUUUUUUUGGGGGGGGGGGCAACUAAUCCUAUUUCCAGAAAUGUUGUCAUUAUAGUUUACCACUUCAGCAUUGUAUUUCUAGAUCAGUAUCUAUCAAAAGAGAUUGGGGAAACUGAGGGCAAACCAGAAGUAGACAGCAUGAAGAUUUACAUUACAGGAGAAAACACAUCUGGGGAGGGGUGUGAGGAGGUUGACACAUCCAAAUGUAAUAUCACAACUCACAUCACAAGCAAAAUGAACCAAAAUGUGCUGCCAUUUGGUUGAAUUUCUAAAGUGCCAGGACAGCAUUUAGACAAGGUAAGAAUAUUACAUAGAUUACCAGUUGGGAUGAGUCCAAUGUUUAAUCAUAGAGGAACAUUACUACCUCAAAAUAUUGCUUUAUUAUAUAGUUAUUUUCCUAAGUGCAUGCGCUGACUCGUUCUUUCACAAGAUUACAAACUCGGCAAAUAAUGGACAAAGGAAAAGCAUCAAGGAAGGAUCAUGUAGUCUUUUUUUGUUUUCUUAGAAUCUAACCACAUAGGCCACCUCUUUUCUCUUCCUCUUCUGUUUCAAGUUUCCUCUUUAUCAUGCCAAAGUUUACAAACUUUAUAACACCAGUUUGGUUAGGGUAAUGAAGCUGCAAAAUGUGGAAGGCGGGGGAGAGAGAUGAAGCAACUUAAUGCUAAAAAUAGUAUAUCUUUAAAAAUAUUGUGUCUCCUUAUGUAAGUCAGCACAAGACUUGAGAGCUGCAGGAGAGGGCUUUCUCUUGGUCCUACCGCCUCUGCAGGCACAGUUCAUGAGGUCUUGGGAGAGAGCCUCCACUGUGGCUGCUCCCAGACUGGAAUUCCUUCCAUCUGAGAUCCAGUUGUUCUUCUCCAUGCCUUCUUUCCACUGGCAGGUGAAGAUGUUUUUAUUCAGACUGACUUUUGAAUUUUAAAUACGGAGCGCUUGUUCUGUCACGCGCUGGGCCUGUGACUGACUGUCUGUUAUGUAGGACGUACGCUUUACGCCCAGCGGAAAGCCAGGGGCCUAAAGAAGGGUCGUCGAGGAAUUUUCCUGAAAAGAUGGCCUUGAAGUCUUUAAAGAAAUAACAAAGUCUUUAUUGACGAACAAAUAAUAAAUCUUCAAGGAGUCUUGUCCCACAGGACAGGCUAUAGGCUUUGAAUAACUGUGAAAACCCUCUUAUAACCCCUCCCAGGCUAUCUGUUAUCUGGGCCUAGCUAGUCUGGGACCCACUGCCAACUCCAAGUGCGUCUGGUUGUUGAGUGGACCUACCAGCCAAUGGCUUGCAGAUGUUUCUGUGCUGUUGUUCUGUAUCCCUGGACAGUCAAUAUCCCUGGGGUUCUUUAACCUUGGUGCUUUUUAUCCCCGGUGGUCUUUAUCCCUGGAGGUCCUUUAUCCCCGGUAGUCUUUAUCCCUGGUAUUCUUGAAAUAGGAAGCCUUUUACGGGACGAGCUGGUUUAUGUCCUACAGCUGAGCUUCCUAAGAGAGACUAACUUAAAAAUGGCUCCUUCCCUCCCAGAGCCCUGAACAGGGGGCGGAACCAAACUUAAUGGUGAUUGACAGGUGGCCUGUCCUAUGGCUGCAAACAUUUGCAGCAAGAAAGUAAAAUAGAAGGUUCUGGUACAGCUGUACCAGCACAGCGCUAGUGUGUGCAUAAAGGGGCCUGCUGUAUUGUUUAAGGUUGGAUUGAAAAUACAUUUUAAUAAUGUUUUUUACAUUUUAUACAUUAUUACAUUUGCUAGAUUAAAAAUUUUUUAAGGCACUUUGAAUACAUUUUGGGAGGAAGUUGGGAUAUACAUUUAAUCGAUCAAUAAUAUAUUCUCCAACAUUUCAUGAACGAAAACUGGGACACAUGUGGCGAAGUGACAUCACAAUGUCAAGAUGAUAACAGUUAAUCAUAAAGAUGAAUAUACAGUCCAGAAGGGGCUGUAGCAGUUAGCUUUUGCCAAAAUCUGCUAAGAAAAGAAAAGUUUCACCCCAUUCAUGUGUUGAGUGUGAACUACUUUCUCACUUUGAACUAAAUUUGCAGCAAGUUGUUGUAUUUAUUUAUACUUUCAUCUGUGUUUGACACACAAAGUUAACUGAGGGUGAAGAUGGGAUGCGAGUGGUGGAGGAAAUCUGGGACAUUUUAAAAGAAACGGAGAAAGUGAGAUCGCAAAGGAUUAAACAGGACUGUCCCUACCAAACUGGGACUGUUGGAGGGUAUGCCAUGGCAACUUCCUGGGGCUCAUAGUUUGGUAGAGCACUAGAAUUCGCUGGCUAAGAAUUCUGUAUAUUCCUCCCUAGACUGCAAAUUCCAGAAUUCCAUGACAUGUUUCCAUGGCAGUGAAUAUGGAAUCACAAUACUAUUGUUGUGUUGUCUGAAAAGCCCUUUCUCCUGAGCCUCACCUGAACCUUGACAUUCCCCCAGCAACGAGGGAGUUCCUCUGGGCAGCUAAGCCAGGAAAUCCCAGCUGAAUCCCCCUCCCUCCAUGAAGGUCUGCCUCCAGGGGCAAACCAAGAAUGGGAAACUUGGAAGUCCCUGAACAGACUCAGAAGUGGAGUGGGCAGAUGAAAAGACAACCUGGCAAAAUGGCACUACCUAAAAGAAUCCUCUACCUUGUGCGACUGUGGAGCAGAACAGACAACUCCGCAUCUGUAUGCUUGUCCACAAUGCCCUGCCUCAUAUACAGAGGAAGAAUUGUUUGUGGAUACAGACAAUUCAAUAGCUGUUGACCGUUUUUGGUCAAAAUAUAUUUAACCACUUGUGCUCCUUCUAUCUGUAUCUGUUUUACACUAAUUUAUGCAAUGCUUUUGAUACAAAAUAAAUAAACCUGAGCCUCACACUGUGCUUUCAAUUUGGUGAUAAGCAAAUUCUAUGUUCCAGCAUUAAGUCAGGGGUGAAGGAAGGGAAUACAAAAUUACCUGCUUUGCUGGCCAGCAACCUCUUGAACAAUAGGCCAAAGAUGACCAUAGGAAGCCCUGACCACAAGUUUUCAUGAUAGAUUCAUCAUUUGAUUUGAAUCAAAUAGGAUUUAGUGCUGUUUCUCUUUGUGUUAGGCCUUGCCCCCACUCUCUCAGAACAGCAAGACCUAACAGAUAAACAAUAUAAAUAUUACAUUUUGAGCCAAGUUACUGGCACAAAAAUGUUCAAAAUACUACUCGUCAUGUUUUUGUUUUGUUUUGCUGUUUUAACAAGUUUCCCCCCUUCCAACUGUAGACAAUCACCAGUUUAGAAAACAGUACAGUAAAGACACCCUGAACCUAUUCCAAAAUAAUGUUUUGCUUAUGCCCCAGUGAAAUCUAAGACUGAUUACACAGAUCCGUCCCAUUGCUUUCAAUCUUGGGUAACAUUGUUGGGUUUACAUCUGAGUAAACAUAUUUGUUACUGGACUAUAGUGGGCCCUUUGGAUAUAUACAGGGUUGGUCUGGGACCCAGAAAAUGCCAAAAAAAGAAAAGAAAGAAAAAAAAAAGAAAAAGGGAAGAAAGAAAAGCAUAUGAUCACAUCCCAUUUAUUGAAUGACAGAGGCACGCAUGCGGACACCGGUGCUUUCAUGUCACUGCCAUUUUAUGUAUAGGACAUGAUGAUCCAUGGCCAGUGGAAAUCACUGAUCUGAAGAGUCAGCAGGACGACUACUUGUCAUUAUCUACCAAACCAUUAUAGUUUUUACCCUCCUUUCAGUCUCUCUGUCCUUAUAUCUCACAUCACCCCCUUUGAACUUUACUCAUCCAGUUCUACCACUUGCAGCUGUCUUAAGGGGCCUAUUCUCACUACAUAGUUAUAGCACUUUGAUCCCACUUAAGUGCUUGCCUUUGCCUUCCUCUGAGAGAGUGUGGCUUUCCCAAACUUGCCUGGUAGAUUUCCAUGGCUGAGCAGAGAUUCGAAUCCCAGAGUUAUACUCUCCUAGACCAGUGGCCUACUCCAAGUUACCCCUUGGAGUAGGUUGGACCUAAUUUAAAAUCAAACCAGUUGUGAAACCAACAUUUGUUUACACUUUUUCUAACAGUUUUUUUGGUUUAAGCCCUUUAGUCAUAUACCAAAUCUUUUAAGCUUUUGUUCCAUGCAAAUGUGUUAAUUUCAUGGAUUUAACAUAGCAGGAUCAAUACACUGGAAACUUUGAGGGGAGAUUGUGUAUGUAAGAAAAAUUUAAAUAGUUUAGAAUCAGUGCACAACAAAAGCAGGAUGCAGCAUUAUCUGAUUAAGAACCGGACUUUGCAGAAUGCUGGGAAAAGGAAAUGUCUUUUUUGGACCUCCAAACCAGAGAAAUGAUGUUCUUGAUGCAUGGCUUCUGGCUCCAACCUUCCCUGGCUAGAGGGUUGCGAAAUCUUUUCUCCAGCUUAAGACAAACUGGUCAGGUGGGUGGCCACAGAGCUCUCACUUGGCUAUUACAUUGCAGUUGUGUAAGACAGUGGAAUGAUGUGAUACAUUUACUGAAAGUGAUGAGAAAUAUCCUGGCUCUGCAUUUAAAAACAACAUUCCCCGCUCAACACUGGGUUAAAAGCCAACCCACUACCCUUAGUCAACAAGAAACUGCAUCAUGUUUUCCCAAAGAAAUAUCCACAAGGGAAUGUGGUCCUCCUCACUGGCGCAUGAGAAUCAUUCAUCUUAGAUUUCCAGAAAAUUGUGAUCCAUAUGCAGGGAAAUAAAUGGGAAUGUAGCACAAAAGGGUAGAUUUAAAAGCAUUUGAACACUGGAAACCUUUAAGUUGACAUCACUGCAUCUAGUUUUCCAACAUCCAGGACGACUUGGAGAAAAGUCCAAAACCAGGGAACAUUUGAAAAUCUAUUUUCCUACUUUUAAAAAAGGAUUCUGCACAUGAUUAAUAAACAAUACAAUAAAUAUGCAGAUACGACACUCUGCUUGUAUUGGAUGGUUGCUACCUAUGUUAGAAGGUAUGUAUUAUUACGACAUUAUUACGACACAAUUUCUUCUCCUAGUCAUUGUGGGGAAUGAGCUAAUGCACUGUUGACCACAGGUCAACACCAGUAUUACUAAUUUUCUGUAAGUUAAGAAUAAAAAGCUUGGAAUUUUUUUAAAUCAAGCAGAAAGGGUUUGGGUGAAUUUUUCCUGCUCCUGACUAUUCUGUCCCAAAGGACUUCUGGCCAAUUACAGGCUAUUUUCACAGGGAAGACUAGUUUUUGGAGAAAAGCUGUGGAUAGGAGGAAUACUGUACAUCAUUCCCUGCAUUUUGAUUCCCCUUCCUGCUUCUUUUCACCUGGGAAUCUCUCGUUCCAGAUGGGGUUCACUCAGCAGGGAGCUUGCAUCACGUCUCUGAAACCUCAGACGAAAAGGAGAAAAACUAUGGGCUCUGAGGCUGUGUUUGAGCACGAGAGAACAAUGUAAUUCCAGACCGAUGAACAGCUGACCUGUGCGUAUUGCUUGCUUCGUGCCAGGUGGAAAAAGACCAAGGCUGUAGUACCACCCGCCCAGAGCCAUGAACACUUUACCACUCACUUCUUUAGACACAGCAGGUCUGGGUUUCAUUUUUCAUUUAUCUGCUUUUCAAAUAAUGUUACUCAUACAGAUCAGGCUGUCUGUACACACCACUCAUGGUGCUUGUCUGCAUUGUUUCCUUAGAUUUAGAUUCUUCUCUCCUUACUGUUUCAGAGUCAGCUGUGAGUAAUCCUUUUGAAAUUGAUGGGACAACACAGAGACAUAAUAAUACCGUGUAAUAAUACUCUUCACUCUGAAGUUUCAAGUUUCUCUUGUUGUUUUUAUUGUGCCCCUAGGAUCCAGUCUUUUUCUGGCUGGAGCUCCUGAAAAUCUGCAUCAGACCAUUGUUUUUAUUCCAAAAUCUACAUCAGACAAUUUCAGCUUGCAGCUCAGUUCUCUGAUUCAUUAAUUGCUCUGAAUUUUGUUUUAAUGGGAUCCAAGCUAUUAGUAAGGGCAGAAUCUGAAAUUUUGUUUCCUUCUGUUUCUCUCCUUUUUCUUAAUGUUUCUAUAGCUUCUUCUUUUGGUUCUUCUUUUACUCCUAUUUUUUUUUCUUUCAUCCCCACAUUACCUUUCUGUUUUGUACACCAUUUACCAUUUUGUUGCUGCUUUUAUGCCAGUUCAGAUACUAUAUUUCGGGAUCUAGCUCUCUAACUGAUGAGCAUUACCAUACUCCACAUCACAGAGAAGUUGAGUGGGUUCUCUUUUUCUGCAAUAGCAAUGUAAGCCCCACAGUAAAUAUAUCAUUAGACUCUUCCAUUUCCUUUCUGCUUUCCUCUUUGUUUCUUGUAAUUUGCGUUUAUGAGAAGGCGGUCAUCGUCCGGGAUGUAAAACCUCAAUAAUCAUUAGGCAUACAGGUUGUACAGCGGAGGGAGAGAGAAAUCUUUGUGUCACCCAGGGGUCUUGAAUGGUCGCUCUGAAGGUCACCUGACAAGGUCUGAGGCGUGAAUUACCAUGUUUGUAAUGCUAGGGCACAAUCUUCUGUUUUAAGUGCGUGCUUUGGAGAACUCCCCAGAAAAGCAUUUGGGACACAGCCUGUUCCUUUCUCCAUGCAAAACUGCAGAAGAUCAAUGAAUAUUUUAACAAAGAAGUAUUUCAUUAAAAGGGCUGAUUGCUUAAUGAAGUGUCCCUGUGAGCCAUCAAAAUGCAAUGGUUUUUUCCCCCUCUCCUUUUAACGAAAGCAAAGAUUCAUAUCACGAAGAACUGGCUUAUCAAAUUACCGUAAUAGCUUGAGUAGCAUAUGCACUCUUCAAAAAUUGCUCAAGAUAAAGAGGCACCUAGAAGUGUUUCACACAGCACAGUGAAGUACAACUUAUUCCUUUAUACCUCCUGCAUAACGGUAUGAUUAGAGAUGUUAAAUUUCCAGUAAUUUCAGAACUAUGGUGUUUGUUUGUUUUUUAAUAAUAAUCCUGGUGAUUCCUGCCUCCUCGCCGCCACCACCCCAGAAAAAAAAUUCAGCCUUUGCAGAUUGAACAUCAAUUUAUUAAUUUGGGUACAUAAAACACAUUAUAUAUAACUUAGUUUGGUUCUCAAAUAUAAUGAUCAAUAUAUUAAAAUAAAGUUUGCUCAAAAUAUAAUUACAAAUUGAACUUCAUUUUUAAAACUCUUACCAAUGGAAAUACAAGGUCCUGAACCAUGAGGACUAUAAGAAACCUCCUUAGUUUUGUCAGUUGAGCAGUAAGCAGCAAUAAAGUCCAAUAAAACCAGAAGAAAAUAUCAAGAGUAGUAAAAAGAGGGGAUUGUUUUGUUAUCACUAGGCCUCCAUAGUGUCAAACAAUGCAUUUGUUCCCAUAAAAAGAAAAGAGGCAGGAAAACCAAGACAAGGAAUUAUACUGAUUUGAUACUGUACAUAAAAAUUUCUUACAUAAUCUUUAGAAAUUAUUUUGGGUCUAUAAAUAGGUGAAUACUUUGUCUUCCUUCCACAUCUCUAGGUUCUCCAGUUCAUCAGAGGUUGACCAUAGAAUCCCAUUGGAGAACCAACAAAUGCCUAGAAAAGAUUUCUGUGUAGGAAUCUCUAAGCCAUGUCAAAACAUUUGAAUAUUCAAUGUAGGUUUUUAUAUAGGACUGAACUCUGAACUGGGUUUAGUCCUUUUGAUUCUGGAUUCAGUCCAGAAAUAGCACAAUAACCAGGAACAUGUAAGGUCUCUAUAUGCUGGAAGAAGGGUAUAUUUUUAGGUAUAUUUUUUACCCAGAAAUAAAAUAAUAAAAAAACUGCCAUCUGUUUCAAAAAUACCACAGAUCAUCUGUGAUUUUUAUUUGACAAGUAUUUAAUAAUAAUCUCUCAUGAUCAGCUGUCAGCUGUCUUAAAUAUGAUUUAUACCUUCUCUCCUUUCUCUGCUUGAUUAGAAAGGGCUCUGGUGGUAUAGUCCUCUAAAUGCCGCUGCACUGCAUCCUUGAUUCAUCUGACCAGGGUUUCAUGUCAAGCUUCAUACAACCUCCCCAAAUCAUGCAGUUUUUUGUCUAAGGGCACAUCUUGAAGUUUGGCAUCACUUCAGCUGCCAUGGCUCAAUGCUAUGGAAUCCUGGCAGUUGUAAUUUUACAAGGCCUUUCACCUUCUCCCUCACCAAACUACAAUUCCCAGGAUUCCAUAGCAUUGGGCCAUGGCAGUCAGAGCUGUGUCAAACUGUAUUAGUUCUACAGUAUAAAUGCGCCCUCAGUAACAACAGCAAAAUCCUGCAAACAAUUGUAAAACCUGGCCUUCAGGUCAUUUGCAACUUGGAUAGAGCUGUAUUUAGGACUGUUUGAGGAACACUGCCAAAAAUGAGAUUUUCUCUACAAAACAUUUGUAAAAUUUGGCAUAGGUUUGUAGGAGAUCCCAAAUAGAGUUCAUAGUUAAUAAAGCAGCAGCAUUUAAAGAAGAUAGUAUCUAACUGAAUAGAUGUUUUCUCAUAUCACUUGUUUAUACUGACAAAUUCUGUAAUUUGAGCUGCAAAUUCAGAAAGCUGUUUUUUAUUUUGGUUUUAGUUGCACUAAAGUAAAUUCUAAGUUGUUUUAAUAAAAUACGUGACUCAGAACCUCAAACAGCUACCCUUACAGCUCAUGUUGAAUCCUAAGGACUGUGUAAUACAGUUUUAUGACAUGAAAAUUAGCAUAGGUAUUUUAUGAGAGCCAGAUCUGUGCCCUGAUUGGUAGGAAACUUAGUUUAUUAAAACCUAGAAUUCAAUGAUAACCUGACAAGAAGGAACAAAGUUUCUAUCAAUUAGUAUGAAGCCUUGCUUUGUUUUUGAGCAAUUUUGAUAAAGUUAGAGGCUUCUGAUUGGUUGGUCUCAGAUGAAAGCUCAUUAAAUGUACAGAAAGAGAAUGUUAACUGUUGUAACUGCCACAAAUAUGGGAAACUAGAGAUGAGGAAGGGUAUCAUUACAGCAACUCCUAGCAACAUAACAAAGUGGGAUUGGGACUACUGUAAAUCUAGCAGGCUGAAGAACAAUCUAAACUGGCAGAACUCUUCCUGCCUUGCACUGAAGCAGAGUGACUUUUAAGAAGAAGGAACAUAAUGUCAUGCUGUGCCCAUCUAUAAAUGAGCAGCGCUAGAAUGAUGUUCUAGGACCAGGACAUCUUCCCUUUCCCCAAAUGCAAAAACUUGAUUGAAAAGCAAGAACAAUUAUUUCAAAGCUCAUUAGACAUCAUUUGCAAAGAGUAUUAUUUCAUUAGAAGUUAAGAUUAUUUUUCAAAGAGCUAAAUUAUACACUAUUUUAAAUAUGUUGCAUGUAACUAAAGAUUUCUUCUUUAUUCACAAGUAAGCUCAUGGGGACAAUCCAAGAUACAGCAACCCAGAAAAAUGGUUGUGAGGUGUAAAUUUUCCUUCCAGCUUUGUUGCUGCUGAUGCUGUUGCUGCUGGCAUUCAAGCUGUUGCCAACCUAUGGUGACCCUAGGGUGACCCUCUUACAGAGUUUGUAAGGCUGCAAGUAUGUAAGUCACUCAAGGUCUCCCAGUGGGUUUCCAUGGCUGAGCAGGGAACUGAACUCAGGCCUCCAGAGUCCAAUACUCAAACCACUACACCACAGUGGUCUUGCCUCUUCAUAAAUGCAGUUGGGGUUUGCAAAGAAGGUGGAAACUCCAUUGCUGCCACUGAUGUUUAGAAGGUCUGUGGCAGAAUAGGAAGCAAACUAUUAACUCUGAAGUUAGUUUUCAUACCUUUUUAUACCUUGGGUGGUGUACCUUGGGACUAAAAAAACUGUACACAAAUUUUCUGUGCUUCAGUGUUUCUGUAAUAAUGUACAUUUAGGGACACAAAAGUGUCACUAAAUAAGGUGGGGGUUUUGCUUACAGUAACAGCACUUUGCUGAGAAAAAAGCAAUUUAUUUACCUUCUAUGCAGUAGUAAUUAUGUGGCUUCAAGUUAACGCCAAUGUAGGUCAGCUCUUUUCUAGGGUUUCCUUAGCAAGAUGUCCUUAGAGGGAUUUACUGUUGCCUUCCUCUCAGGAUGGGAGCGCAACUUGCCAUGGCCACUCAUUGGUUUCCAUGCCUCAGCGGGUAUUCAGUCUCUGGUCUUGUGUAGCGCUAGUCCAGCACUCAAACCACUACACCACUAUUUAGUGAGCCACUUAUAAUAAAUUUUGUAUCUUCUGUAUUCUUCUUCAAAAUAGAUCUUUGUUUUUCUAAGGAUAGAGACUGAAUAACAAGCUGAGAUCAACCAGAGAAGAUUUCCUGGGCAUAAAAAAGCAGUGAUGGGAACCAUUUUAUUUCUUGACCUUUGCCUGCUGCCUGCUGUGGCAACAAGAAAAAAGACCCUCACAAAGCAACUCACCAUAAAAAGGCAGACAGGCUAUAUUUUGAGCUCAGGUGCUCCUAAACCAAAUUUUGGAGGUGCAGAUCAAGCUGUGGUUACAAAGAUGACAAGAGCAGACCAUUUUUGUUCUUUCCUCAUCACUUUCAAAACCUACAUGGAAUUGCAUUCUCAACCACACUGCAGCUGCAAUCCUGAAACAAUCAUUUUUCUGUUCUGGAAGAUUUCCUCACCCCCACCAAAAGGAUUAAUAAUGAACCAGGAUAUCUCCAGAUUUGUUUGUCAUUCUACUGUUAAUGUGCAAUUCUAUGGCAAUAAUGCCAUUGUUGUUAUCCGUCUUAAAUGUCAAUCAGCUGUAGCUUCACUCAUUAGCUAAAAAUACAAAAAUGGGAGGAAAGGAUCAGUUUAUGCAAAAUGAUGGGAAAGAAUGGCCCAUGAAAUUUUGUACCUUGCAUCUCAUAUAUUGUAGCAUUCUGAGGGUGAGAACUGAGAAUCCUGGCCAGUUAGUUGUAAAUGGACAUCAGAUGACAUACAUAGAUUCCAGGAGUCCAUUCAAACUACAGAAUAUAGGCAUUAUUAUCCCACUAUAACUUCCAUGGUUCCAUUCUUUGGCAUCCUGCCUAAAUUUUUUUUUUAAAGGCCUUAGUUUCAACUCUUGGGGCAUAGUUUUAUAGCCUCCAUAUAGCCCUUUAUCACUAUGGUAUGCUUCCACUUUAAUGAACAUGCCAACAUCCUAUGGAAUUCUGGGAUUUGCAGUUUGGGGAGGAGUAUUUGGAAUAUUCAAUCAAAGAACUCUUGUAACUCAGCAAACCAUAAGUCCCAGUAUUCUAUAGAAUGGUACCAUGGCAUUUUUCCACCCACCAUGACUGAAUGUGUGCCUCUCAUAGCUCCAUGCCAAAUAGAAAUUCAACAGAUGUGGUGUUGCUUGCCUUGGCCUGAGAAAAGCAGUAAUGGUGGAAAGUUACACCUGAUGAAUUUCAUCCUCUACUAUAGCAUUUAGAAGACAGAUUGCCUUCUCUGGAAAACCUUAAUUAUUCAUAAGGAACUUGCUCCACCAGCAACAAAUACUAUUUUUAAAUAUCACAACUACACAGAGCUAUGUCAAAUUAAUUGAAAUUCAUGGGUUUGCUCAUGUGGUUGAAAUACCGUCCUCUAAGGCAGAUGUUUAGCAGAUGAUAUGUCUUUUUGUUCACCAGGCAGCUGUUAACAGCACAGGGACACUGCCAGAAAAAAAGUUGGCACUCUCAGUUACUCAACAAUAUAGACUGGAAAAUGAGUUCCUCUCUGAAAUCUAUUUUCUGCAACAGACUGUUCCAUAUUGCUUCACAACUACUCCAUCGACAUCCAGAUAGAUUGCCACAAAAGAGCUGCAUGGGUUUUUGUGUCCAGAAAUCUUCAGUUAGAUAUAUUCACCUUAGACAUUGCAAGUGUCCGGUUUUAGCAGCCUAAUAUGUAACGGUUCAUGGGGAGCAGAGUCAGUAUAAUACCUAAUAACUAAUAUUCAGGAGCUUGCGCUGUGUUUGAAUUACAUCUAUUACCUUUAGCAAACACAGUUCCUUGUGGAGUUGAUCAAAUUUUAAAAUUUAUGGAAGACCUCAACAUUUCUCUGGAGACUUCAUGAACAUUAUUAUAGAAGCAUCUGAAUAUAAACCACACCCUUCUCAAUUACUCAUGAACACACAAACAUGCAGCUAGCAUUUCAAUCUUACUGUUUGCUUCCCACUUCUAUAAAGCUCCGUGCUUUCUGUUAUAAAUCGUCCAUUGUUUCAAGGUAAAUAUCACCUUCAUUUUCAAUAUCGGUCUCAGAUAAACACAGAGGCAGAUCAAAGGUUUGAUCCACACAGAAGAUAUUAAACAUGCAAGUAAAACAGGGUCAAAAUAGUGUUAGGCUCUAUAUGAUUGUGCUGAUAAGUGUUCCUUAUUCCCUGUCACUCAUUUCUGGUCAAUUAAAGCAAAGGAUAGUAAAUUCACUCCAAUUAAGAUAACACCUGGUAUGUGCAACACUGUGAGAAUCAGUUUGUUCAGCACAGAAUGAAGCCUCAUAGUGCAGCAGUAAAAAAAAUCAUGUUUGUAUCAUCGCCCAGUCCAAAGAGUAAAGGUACUUUGUGUCCAUCCUCACUCUUACAAUUCAUCAGAUAUGUCAGGUUAGGAGGGAUAUUAUUUGUAAUAUAUGGGAAUGUAAAAUGAUCCAAUUAAUUAUAAGUAGCACUAUGUGACUCCUUAUAACAUUAUGCAAUCAUGGGAUUCUGCAUUUGGACUCAGAAUUUAGCAUCCUGGCAAACUCAAUUUCAUUCUUUUUUCCAGUGAAAAGAUAGGCUUGAAUAUGGAAAAAGGCAUCACAAAACCUCCACUGGAGAAAUGGUUAAACAGAAGUGUAGAGCUUCCUCAUGACAAGCCAAAACUGAAUAAAUUAUGCAAGCAUGCAAAUCCACUUCAUUUACAUAACUUGCCCCAUUUAUUAGCACAGACCUUGGGCUACAGAAUAAGUGUGUAUCUACACUGCAGAUUUAAUGCUGUUUGAAAUCACAUUAACUGCCAUGGCUGAAUGCUAUGAAAUUAUAGGAGUUGGCAGAGAAGACUAAAGACCUUAAUAAAAUUACUGUUCUCAUGAUUCCAUAGCAUUCAGCCAUGGCAGUUGAAGUGGGGUCAAACUGCAUUUUACAGUGUAGAUGCACUCUGAGAGCCAGUGCUGUUUCGAGCAUUAGACUAUGACUACGGAGGGUUCAAAUCCCCAUUCAGCCAGAUAACCUUUGGUCAAGUCAUACUCUCUCAGCCUCAGGGGAAAGCUAAAGCAAACCCCACUCUGAACAAAUCUUGUUAAGAAAACCUCAUGAUAGGUUUGCCUUA